UACAGAGAAGAUUAGCAUGGCCCC
rnacentral:piRNA from 4 species